UACGUAGGGGGCAAGCGUUGUCCGGAAUCAUUGGGCGUAAAGAGCGUGUAGGCGGCCCGGUAAGUCCGCUGUGAAAGUCGAGGGCUCAACCCUCGAAUGCCGGCGGAUACUGUCGGGCUAGAGUCCGGAAGAGGCGAGUGGAAUUCCUGGUGUAGCGGUGAAAUGCGCAGAUAUCAGGAGGAACACCGAUGGCGAAGGCAGGUCACUGGGCCGCAACUGACGCUGAGGAGCGAAAGCGUGGGGAGCGAACAGG
rnacentral:rRNA from 1 species